AGGACUUGACAUCGGUGUGAUCGGCGCAGAGAUGCGUCUUCCCUUCGGGGCACACUAGAC
rnacentral:rRNA from 1 species